rnacentral:rRNA from 1 species
UUUAUUGGAGAGUUUGAUCCUGGCUCAGGAUGAACGCUGGCGGCGUGCCUAAUACAUGCAAGUCUUGC